UACGUAGGGUGCAAGCGUUGUCCGGAAUUAUUGGGCGUAAAGAGCUCGUAGGCGGUCUGUCGCGUCGGCUGUGAAAACUCGGGGCUCAACCCCGAGCCUGCAGUCGAUACGGGCAGACUAGAGUGCUGUAGGGGAGACUGGAAUUCCUGGUGUAGCGGUGAAAUGCGCAGAUAUCAGGAGGAACACCGGUGGCGAAGGCGGUUCUCUGGGAAUGUCCUGACGCUGAGGAGCGAAAGUGUGGGGAGCGAACAGG
rnacentral:rRNA from 1 species